UGUUCCAAAGGCGCAAUGAAAAGCGUGUUGGACUUCUAAUCCAGAGACCGUGGGUUCGAAUCCCACCUGGGAUAA